AUAAAUUCAAAAUGAUGAAUUCAUAGUUCAGAUGACAUAAAUGAUUACACUUUUUUUGUCUUUCGCUCCUAACUGAAUAUUUAU